ACUCAAAUAGUUUAAGUCAAAAAUGUUAGCUUGUGGCGCUUAAGAUGUAGUUAUACUUUGAGUU
rnacentral:tRNA from 1 species